AGGCCUAACACAUGCAAGUCGAGCGGAUGACGGGAGCUUGCUCCUUGAUUCAGCGGCGGACGGGUGAGUAAUGCCUAGGAAUCUGCCUGGUAGUGGGGGACAACGUUUCGAAAGGAACGCUAAUACCUGCAUACGUACCUACGGGAGAAAGCAGUGGUGACCUUCGGGCCUUGCGCUAUCAGAUGGGCCUAGGUCGGAUUAGCUAGUUGGUGGGGUAAUAGGCUACACCAAGGCGACGAUCCGUAACUGGUACUAGAGAGGAUAGAUACAGUCACACUNGGAACUAGAGGCACGGUACCAGACUACCUACGGGAGGCAGCAGUGGGGAAUAUAUGGACAAUAGGGCUGAAAGCCUGAUCCAGCCAUGCCGCGUGUGUGAAGAANGUCUUCGGAUUGUAAGCACUUUAAGUUGGGAGGAAGGGCAGUGCUAUACU
rnacentral:rRNA from 1 species